AGGGUAGCAGUUUAUUUACCGUCGCUGUCAUAUCAUGACGAGACGUUAAGGAGUAAACAAUUUAUAUGUUGUCGAUAUAUUUAACAGUAGAAAACAACUAAACAAUUGAAAGGUGUAUUCAGCGAUGAUAUCUACACAUAUUCUCAUCCUGCAGCUUUGCUUUGCAUUUGUGUCAUGUGUCAAGGUCUCUCAGAUAGAGUUUACAAAACAGCAAGAGGAAAUGCCGACAUUGACAGUUGAGGAUAUGAAAACUAUGAAAGAAGAUAUACGGAAUAAUGCUGAAAGCAUAAAAAACAUUAUCGAAGACGUUAAGACUAUUGAGGAAGAGUUACAAAGUAUGUCUGACCUUGUGCACAAAACAUUAUUAACUUUCAAAAAUGCCUAUAGGCCUAAUCAAAAUACCUGGAGCUGAUACCAGCCCAAAUGAGGGCAUCCUGUGGAAUGUCAGCUUAGUGAAGAUUUAAAAGUAAACAUAGACAAAAAUAAUUUCCUGUGCAGAUGGUGGCGAAGGGGAUAC